rnacentral:rRNA from 1 species
GAUGAACGCUGGCGGCGUGCCUAAUACAUGCAAGUCGAGCGAACAGACGAGGAGCUUGCUCCUCUGACGUUAGCGGCGGACGGGUGAGUAACACGUGGAUAACCUACCUAUAAGACUGGGAUAACUUCGGGAAACCGGAGCUAAUACCGGAUAAUAUAUUGAACCGCAUGGUUCAAUAGUGAAAGACGGUUUUGCUGUCGCUUAUAGAUGGAUCCGCGCCGCAUUAGCUAGUUGGUAAGGUAGCGGCUUACCAAGGCAACGAUGGGUAGCCGACCUGAGAGGGUGACGGGCCACAGUGGGACUGAGAUACGGCCCAGACUCCUACGGGAGGCAGCAGUGGGGAAUAUUGCAAAAUGGGCGGAAGCCUGAUGCAGCAACGCCGCGUGCGGGAUGACGGCCUUCGGGUUGUAAACAGCUUUCGCCUGUGACGAAGAGUGAGUGACGGUAAUGGGUAAAGAAGCACCGGCUAACUACGUG